CUGACUUCAGUGGGCUUUGGUU
rnacentral:miRNA from 2 species